CGGGGAGUAGCGCAGUCUGGUAGCGCACCUGCUUUGGGAGCAGGGGGUCGCUGGUUCGAAUCCAGUCUCCCCGACCA
rnacentral:tRNA from 1 species